GAUGAACGCUGGCGGCGUGCCUAAUACAUGCAAGUCGAGCGAACAGAUAAGGAGCUUGCUCCUUUGACGUUAGCGGCGGACGGGUGAGUAACACGUGGGUAACCUACCUAUAAGACUGGGAUAACUUCGGGAAACCGGAGCUAAUACCGGAUAACAUUUGGAACCGCAUGGUUCUAAAGUGAAAGAUGGUUUUGCUAUCACUUAUAGAUGGACCCGCGCCGUAUUAGCUAGUUGGUAAGGUAACGGCUUACCAAGGCGACGAUACGUAGCCGACCUGAGAGGGUGAUCGGCCACACUGGAACUGAGACACGGUCCAGACUCCUACGGGAGGCAGCAGUAGGGAAUCUUCCGCAAUGGGCGAAAGCCUGACGGAGCAACGCCGCGUGAGUGAUGAAGGGUUUCGGCUCGUAAAACUCUGUUAUUAGGGAAGAACAAAUGUGUAAGUAAAUGUGCACGUCUUGACGGUACCUAAUCAGAAAGCAACGGCUAACUACGUG
rnacentral:rRNA from 1 species